rnacentral:rRNA from 1 species
AGAGUUUGAUCCUGGCUCAGGACGAACGCUGGCGGCGUGCUUAACACAUGCAAGUCGAACGAGAAUCUACUGAAAGAGUUUUCGGACAAUGGAUGUAGAGGAAAGUGGCGGACGGGUGAGUAACGCGUGAGGAACCUGCCUUGAAGAGGGGGACAACAGUUGGAAACGACUGCUAAUACCGCAUGAUGCAUAGGGGUCGCAUGAUCUUUAUGCCAAAGAUUUAUCGCUUCAAGAUGGCCUCGCGUCUGAUUAACUAGUUGGCGGGGUAACGGCCCACCAAGGCGACGAUCAGUAGCCGGACUGAGAGGUUGAACGGCCACAUUGGGACUGAGAUACGGCCCAGACUCCUACGGGAGGCAGCGGUGGGGAAUAUUGCACAAUGGGGGAAACCCUGAUGCAGCGACGCCGCGUGGAGGAAGAAGGUCUUCGGAUUGUAAACUCCUGUUGUUGAGGAAGAUAAUGACGGUACUCAACAAGGAAGUGACGGCUAACUACGUGCCAGCAGCCGCGGUAAAACGUAGGUCACAAGCGUUGUCCGGAAUUACUGGGUGUAAAGGGAGCGCAGGCGGGCGAUCAAGUUGGAAGUGAAAUCCAUGGGCUCAACCCAUGAACUGCUUUCAAAACUGAUUGUCUUGAGUAGUGCAGAGGUAGGCGGAAUUCCCGGUGUAGCGGUGGAAUGCGUAGAUAUCGGGAGGAACACCAGUGGCGAAGGCGGCCUACUGGGCACCAACUGACGCUGAGGCUCGAAAGUGUGGGUAGCAAACAGGAUUAGAUACCCUGGUAGUCCACACCGUAAACGAUGAUUACUAGGUGUUGGAGGAUUGACCCUUUCAGUGCCGCAGUUAACACAAUAAGUAAUCCACCUGGGGAGUACGACCGCAAGGUUGAAACUCAAAGGAAUUGACGGGGGCCCGCACAAGCAGUGGAGUAUGUGGUUUAAUUCGACGCAACGCGAAGAACCUUACCAAGUCUUGACAUCCUGCGACGAUGCUAGAAAUAGUAUUUUCCUUCGGGACGCAGAGACAGGUGGUGCAUGGUUGUCGUCAGCUCGUGUCGUGAGAUGUUGGGUUAAGUCCCGCAACGAGCGCAACCCUUAUGGUCAGUUACUACGCAAGAGGACUCUGGCCAGACUGCCGUUGACAAAACGGAGGAAGGUGGGGAUGACGUCAAAUCAUCAUGCCCUUUAUGACUUGGGCUACACACGUACUACAAUGGCGUUAAACAAAGAGAAGCAAGACCGCGAGGUGGAGCAAAACUCAGAAACAACGUCCCAGUUCGGACUGCAGGCUGCAACUCGCCUGCACGAAGUCGGAAUUGCUAGUAAUCGCAGAUCAGCAUGCUGCGGUGGAUACGUUCCCGGGCCUUGUACACACCGCCCGUCACACCAUGAGAGCCGGGGGGACCCGAAGUCGGUAGUCUAACCGCAAGGAGGACGCCGCCGAAGGUAAAACUGGUGAUUGGGGUGAAGUCGUAACAAGGUA